GGGAAUUUUGGACAAUGGGGGAAACCCUGAUCCAGCAAUGCCGCGUGUGCGAAGAAGGCCUUCGGGUUGUAAAGCACUUUUGUCAGGGAAGAAAUCCUUUGGGCUAAUACCCUAGGGGGAUGACGGUACCUGAAGAAUAAGCACCGGCUAACUACGUGCCAGCAGCCGCGGUAAUACGUAGGGUGCAAGCGUUAAUCGGAAUUACUGGGCGUAAAGCGUGCGCAGGCGGUUGUGUAAGACAGGUGUGAAAUCCCCGGGCUUAACCUGGGAAUUGCAUUUGUGACUGCACGACUAGAGUGUGUCAGAGGGGGGUGGAAUUCCACGUGUAGCAGUGAAAUGCGUAGAUAUGUGGAGGAACACCAAUGGCGAAGGCAGCCCCCUGGGAUAACACUGACGCUCAUGCACGAAAGCGUGGGGAGCAAACAG
rnacentral:rRNA from 1 species